UUUCUAACUAGCCUGUCUUUAUCUUUAGUAGCUAUAGGGAAGGCAAUCGCUAAUCCUCUUAAGAGUGUGAAUUCUGUCACCCAGGCUGUAAUAUGGUAGCAUCAAUGGCAUCAUCAUAGGUCACUGCAGCCUCAAAUUCCUGGAGUCAAGCAAUUAUUCUUCAGCCUCCCAAGCAGCUAAUAAAACAGCCACACAUGAUCAUGAUCAGCUAUUUUUAAAAUAUAUAUAUAUAUAUAUAUCUAAUAUAUAUAUAUAUAUUUGUGUAGACAAGGUCUCACUACGUUACACUGGCUUACUUUUCUUUUCUGUAGAGAUGGAUGUAUCAAACUCUUAGCCUCAUGCACUCCUCCCACUUUGGCUUCCCAAAAUGCUGAGAUUACAGGUGUAAAGCACCACAGCCAGCCAAAACUAUAAUAUAUUUUGUGUAAGCAUACCAAAGAAAAUAUCUAUAAAAGUUACAGAAAAGAAAAGAGAGACACGAAUCAAAGCCUAUCAAGUAAGAGAAAAAUAAAACAACAGCUGGGCACAGUGGCUCACACCUGUAAUUCCACCACUUUGGGACACAAAGGUGGGAGGAACACUUGAAACCAGGAGUUUGAGACCAGCCUGCAAAACAUGGUAAUACUCUGUCUCUAUAAAAAUUAAAAUUAAAAAUUAACCAGGUGUGGUGGCACAUGCCUGUUGUCCUA
rnacentral:lncRNA from 10 species